GAUGAACGCUGGCGGCGUGCUUAACACAUGCAAGUCGAACGGAAAGGCCAGUGCUUGCACUGGUACUCGAGUGGCGAACGGGUGAGUAACACGUGGGUGAUCUGCCCUGCACUUCGGGAUAAGCCUGGGAAACUGGGUCUAAUACCGGAUAGGACAAUGGUUUGGAUGCCGUUGUGGAAGGUUUUUUCGGUGUGGGAUGAGCUCGCGGCCUAUCAGCUUGUUGGUGGGGUAAUGGCCUACCAAGGCGUCGACGGGUAGCCGGCCUGAGAGGGUGUACGGCCACAUUGGGACUGAGAUACGGCCCAGACUCCUACGGGAGGCAGCAGUGGGGAAUAUUGCACAAUGGGCGCAAGCCUGAUGCAGCGACGCCGCGUGGGGGAUGACGGCCUUCGGGUUGUAAACUCCUUUCGCUAGGGACGAAGCGUAUUUGUGACGGUACCUGGAGAAGAAGCACCGGCUAACUACGUG
rnacentral:rRNA from 1 species